rnacentral:rRNA from 1 species
CAGCCGCCGCGGUAAUACGUAGGGUGCGAGCGUUAAUCGGAAUUACUGGGCGUAAAGCGUGCGCAGGCGGUUUUGUAAGACAGGCGUGAAAUCCCCGGGCUCAACCUGGGAAUGGCGCUUGUGACUGCAAAGCUAGAGUGCGGCAGAGGGGGAUGGAAUUCCGCGUGUAGCGGUGAAAUGCGUAGAUAUGCGGAGGAACACCGAUGGCGAAGGCAAUCCCCUGGGCCUGCACUGACGCUCAUGCACGAAAGCGUGGGGAGCAAACAGGAUUAGAUACCCCUGUAGUCCCUGUCUCUUAUAC